rnacentral:rRNA from 1 species
UACAGAGGGGGCAAGCGUUGUUCGGAAUUAUUGGGCGUAAAGGGCGCGUAGGCGGCCUGUUAAGUCGAAUGUGAAAUCCCCGGGCUCAACCCGGGAACUGCGUCCGAUACUGGCAGGCUUGAAUCCGGGAGAGGGAUGCGGAAUUCCAGGUGUAGCGGUGAAAUGCGUAGAUAUCUGGAGGAACACCGGUGGCGAAGGCGGCAUCCUGGACCGGCAUUGACGCUGAGGCGCGAAAGCCAGGGGAGCAAACGGG